rnacentral:misc_RNA from 1 species
CCGAGUUGCAAACUCCCAACGCAUUGUGAACCUACCUCACCGUUGCUCGGCUCGUGGCCGGUCACCAGGCCGCGCCGGCCCCGUCUCUUCGGUGGCCCGGAGCCCGUCGAGGACCAACCCUGUAUUUAGCUGGCCUCUCUGAGUAAACUUAUACAAUAAUCA